GGGUGACAGAGCAAGAUUCGGUGACAAAGCAAGAUUCCAUCGCAAAAAUAAAGAAGGAAAAGGAAGGAAGGAAAGAAAGAAAGGGAAAGAGAGAGAGAAAGGAAGAGAAAGAAUGAAGAAAGAAAGAAUUUUUUGUUUUUACAAAUUUUGUGUAGCCUAAGUGUACAGUGUUUCUAAAGUCUACAGUAGUGUACAGUAAUAUCCCAGGCUUUCACAUUCACUCACCACUCACCAACUCACCCAGAGCAACUUCCCGUCCUGCAAGCUCCGUUCAUGUCUUUUAGAGUUGGCCCAAGGGGCCAUUAAUCACUCUGUCUGGAGCCGGGAGAGAACCCUCAGGAAAGAGGGGAAAGUGCAGCGAGCGGCUCUGCGAUGGCGGCGAUGAUGAAGGUGCUGUCCACCAGGCCGGAAGCAGGCGCAGACCCUGUCUUGGGAUGGAGAGCGCCAUUUCCCGCCUCACUGGCCUGCGCCUCAGGCACUCGAGGACAUCAAGCAAAAUUCACAGCCAGGCCGGGAACUCGAGGAACGCUGUAUUGAGGCACAGUGUGAAUGCCACAAGAUCAGUCCCCAGAGAAUCAACCUAGAAGCCUGAGUGCAAAUAUGGAAAAGGCCAAGCCCUGCCGAUCUCCCUGGACCCUUGGUAGAGGGAGCCCAGUGCCCCUUCCUGCUCUGCACCUUUCUGGCAGCCCAGUGCCAGGGCACCACCAGGCCCCUGCUGUGAGCCAAGGUCAGGAACCAAUGAAAAUAAGCUUGGCCUUGGGAGUAUAUAUACAUUUUGCUAUUAAUAGUGUUAAAAUUAAAUUUCCCUCUCUCAAGAGACCUAGGUAUGGGAACUUGGUUUGCCAUAACUGUCUGUACCUCCCUUGGUGGGGGUGUUAUCCCAUUGUGUCCAGGUCCUCGGCUAGAGAAGUGGGAAUCUAGUACUGUCGGGUGCUAGGUCCUCAUUUGUUCUCAAUUGCCUCCUCUUUUUAUCAAUGCAGCCCUUCUGCUCAUCCUUCCUUCAAAAAGACCAUUGGCCAGGCACAGUGGCUCACACCUGUAAUCCCAACAUAAUCCCAACACUUUGGGAGGCUGAGGUAGCAGAUCACUUGAGGCCAGGAGUUCAAGACCAGCCUGGUCAACAGGGUGAAACCCAUCUCUACUAAAAAUACAAAAAUUAGCCAGGUGUGGUGGUGCACGUCUGUAAUCCCAGCUACUUGGAAGGCUGAUGCAGGAGAAUCACUUGAACCCGGGAGGCAGAGGUUGCAGUGAGCUGAGAUCAUGCCACUGUACUGCAGCCUGGGUGACAGAGUGAGACUCUGUCUCAAAAAAAUAAAUAAAUGAAAUGAAAAUAAAAAUAUCCCAUCC
rnacentral:lncRNA from 1 species